GCCAGCAGCUAUAUUACCAUGCAGCUCUCAACUCUGGCUACCCACUGAAGCUAAGCAGCAUUGAUCCUGGUCAUUACCUUAAUGGGAGACCUCCUGGGAAGCUAUGGUUGCUGCUGGAA
rnacentral:rRNA from 1 species